UUGUUAAUUAGAUCAAUACAAGUGUUCCGAAGUCAACGGGACGCACAGGUAUCCCGGACUAAAUCAAACAACAUUACUUGGAUCAAAGUGCAGUGUCCGCAACAGCGAAACAGUUCAGAUUGCGGAUACUUUGUUUUGAGGUUUAUGAAAGAAAUCCUUCAGGCGAAUCAAUUAGAGAUUCCGCUCACGUACCUUGACGAAUUCCGUGCUGCUGGGUACCCGAGACUUAAGUUGGAAGAAAUCAAAGAGGAUUUGUGUCACUUUUAUAUUAAGCAAUUUUUCAUGUAGGAUUUGUGUCGAUUUGAACUAUAAUAUUAUUGAUGUUGUAAUGAUGUAUAUAUAUAAUUUUGGAUAUUAUAAUGGUAUU